UAACUGGUGAAAGUCCAGUCUGAGUAAAUGCCAAGAUGCUCAGUAGCUGACAGGCAACUGGUGGAGAAAUCCUAAGGUUGAAGCCCUGUGAAAAAGUACCGAUGAAAAUCGGGCAAGCAAACCAGCAGGUUGUAACAUGA
rnacentral:ncRNA from 1 species